UUGACCUCGAAUUAAGUAG
rnacentral:rRNA from 1 species